UUCCAGACUCCUACGGGAGGCAGCAGUGGGGAAUAUUGCACAAUGGGGGGAACCCUGAUGCAGCGACGCCGCGUGGGUGAAGGAGCACCUCGGUGCGUAAAGCCCUAUCGGCAGGGAAGAAAAGCGAACAGGUUCGCCUGGACGGUACCUGACUAAGAAGCCCCGGCUAACUACGUGCCAGCAGCCGCGGUAAAACGUAGGGGGCGAGCGUUGUCCGGAAUGACUGGGCGUAAAGGGUGCGUAGGCGGCAUAAUAAGUUAGAAGUGAAAUACCCAGAGCUUAACUCAGGUGCUGCUUCUAAGACUGUUGAGCUUGAGUGCGGGAGAGGUUAAUGGAAUUCCUAGUGUAGCGGUGGAAUGCGUAGAUAUUAGGAGGAACACCAGAGGCGAAGGCGAUUAACUGGACCGUAACUGACGCUGAGGCACGAAAGUGUGGGUAGCAAACAGGAUUAGAUACCCGUGUA
rnacentral:rRNA from 1 species